ACGAACGCUGGCGGCGUGCUUAACACAUGCAAGUCGAACGGUAAGGCCCUUUCGGGGGUACACGAGUGGCGAACGGGUGAGUAACACGUGGGUGACCUGCCCCUUACUCUGGGAUAAGCCUGGGAAACUGGGUCUAAUACCGGAUAUGACUCGCGCCUCGCAUGGUGAGCGUGUGGAAAGUUUUUCGGUCUGGGGAUGGACUCGCGGCCUAUCAGCUUGUUGGUGAGGUGAUGGCUCACCAAGGCUACGACGGGUAGCCGGCCUGAGAGGGCGUACCGGCCACACUGGGACUGAGACACGGCCCAGACUCCUACGGGAGGCAGCAGUGGGGAAUAUUGCAGCAAUGGGCGGAAAGCCUGAUGCAGCGACGCCGCGUGGGGGAUGACGGCCUUCGGGUUGUAAACCUCUUUCGACCCGAGGAAGAGUCGCAGUGACGGUAGGGCCUGCAGAAGAAGCACCGGCUCAACUACGUGCCAGCAGCCGCGGUAAUACGUAGGGUGCGAGCGUUGUCCGGAAUUAUUGGGCGUAAAGAGCUUGUAGGUGGUUUGUCGCGUCUGCCUGUGAAAAUCCUGAAGCUCAACCUCGGGCGUGCAGUGUCGAUACGGGCAUACUAGGAGUUCGGUAGGGGAGACUGGAAUUCCUGGUGUAGCGGUGAAUGCGCAGAUAUCAGGAGGAACACCGAUGGCGAAGGCAGGUCUCUGGGCCGAUUACUGACAGCUGAGGAGCGAAAGCAGUGGGGAGCGAACAGGAUUAGAUACCCUGGUAGUCCAUGCCGUAAACGUUGGGAGCUAGGUGUGGGGACUCAUUCCACGAGAUUCCUGUGCCGCAGCUAACGCAUUAAGUGCCCCGCCUGGGGAGUACGGCCGCAAGGCUAAAACUCAAAGGAAUUGACGGGGGCCCGCACAAGCGGCGGAGCAUGCGGAUUAAUUCGAUGCAACGCGAAGAACCUUACCAUGGGCUUGACAUGACAGACGGCGGAGCACGGUCAGUAUGGGUGCGUUCGGACUGUGUACAGGUGGUGCAUGGUUGUCGUCAGCUCGUGUCGUGAGAUGUUGGGUUAAGUCCCGCAACGAGCGCAACCCUCGUUCUAUGUUGCCAGCAGCGUCGAUGGGGGGACUCAUAGGAGACUGCCGGGGUCAACUCGGAGGAAGGUGGGGAUGACGUCAAGUCAUCAUGCCCCUUAUGUCCAUUGGGCUUCACACAUGCUACAAUGGCUCGUACAGAGGGCUGCGAGACCGCUGAGGUGGAGCGAAUCCCUAAAGCUGGGUCUCAGUUCGGAUCGGGGUCUGCAACUCGACCCCAGUGAAGUCGGAGUCGCUAGUAAUCGCAGAUCAGCAACUGCUGCGGUGAAUACGUUCCCGGGCCUUGUACACACCGCCCGUCAAGUCACGAAAGUCGGUAACACCCGAAGCCCGGUGGCCUAACCACGUUGUGGGGGGAGCUGGUCGAAGGUGGGACCUGGCGAUUGGGACG
rnacentral:rRNA from 1 species